CCACGGGACACGUGAAACCCUGUGGGAAGCAGGAGGGACCACCCUCCAAGGCUAAAUACUACCUAGUGACCGAUAGCGUAUAGUACCGUGAGGGAAAGGGGAAAAGAACCCCGGGAGGGGAGUGAAAUAGAACCUGAAACCCUGCACUUACAAGCUGUGGAAGCACAUUUCUUGUGUGACCGCGUACUUUUUGGAGAACGGGCCAACGAGUUACGUUAAGGAGCAAGGUUAAGCACUU
rnacentral:rRNA from 1 species